GGGCCAUUCUCCACUAAUUGGAAAAUCGCUGUCCGCGGCAAAUUUUACAUAUAAGAUGUUUAUAUUACUGAGUUCUAUAUAUUAAAAACGAUAGUGUACUAGUUAUUCUUAGUACGCUAUAGCUUAUUUAGUAAUAUAAUAUUGUAAUAUUAUAAUAAAUGCACUUUAAACACCUCAAAACACAGUCCCCUGUAGUGUCCCAUUUCCAGAAUUAGAAGUUUCGUGACAAAAAAAAUAUGUUCUUUAUUGUUAUUUCCAAAGUAUAAAAUAUUCAAGUAAUACUAGUAUACAUUAAGUAUCUUUGUAAAACAAAGUGAUAUUUUUAAGUAGAAAUUUAAUAUUUAAUUUGGUAUGACAAAUGUUGUCCUCAAUAUUUUCGAUCAGUCCCCUGUUACAAUUUGAAAAAUGCUCUGAAAUCUUAUUAUGCAUUGGCGCGGACAUUGAGACCAUGAAACGGAACGCAACCGCUGUGAAGUUCGUUCGGUUGCAAACGAAACGCGCCGUCGCCAUUUAGUUUAGUGUCACCAAUGCGUUCCAAGGUGACACCACGCGUCCUGGCUGCACGUUGAAACAGUCCACUGGUAAUGUUCCAAAAUGCCACCCAAAAAGAAGCCACCCAAAAUUAGAGAAGAAAUAUUAGAACAAAAAUGUACAGCUGAACGUUUGAGAUAUCAACGACUUCAAAAUGACCUGCAAAAGAGAGAAGAAAUGAAAGAGAAAGAGAGACGAAAAUACCAAAAGAAGAAAGAAAAAUGCACUAGAAAAUUAGUCAAGGACAGGCAGACACAAUAAAUACUGACUUUAGUGUCAUAGUAUCAGUUACAUAAAGACUGUUUAGCAAAGAUGUUAAUUUUAAUAAGUUUAAUACAAUAUAUGAUGAUGAUGUUACGUUAAGAGGCCGUUAUCGAUUUUAGUCGCAAAAAUGUCAUAUUGAUAGAUUCGAUGAAAUUUGAGACCUUUUCUUAACUAUUUGAAAUAACAAGUCCUGGUGUCUAGUAGCACGUCUUGUAACCUUUUAUUUUAAUAAAUUAUUUUUUUGAAAACAGACUCACUUAAUUAGGUACUUUUUUUUCUGAUGGACGUUUAGGUAAACGCGCGUAAAGCACUGAUUUAGUCGAUCCUCUUUGUAAAUGUAGAAAAGUUUGGACUGCUAAAAAUGUUAAUUUUGUAUUACACAUACCCUGUACUUCAACUUUAAUAAAUUACAUUUUUGUUAUUAUAAAUUUAAAGUAGUGUAAAUGAAAGAAAGACGAAAUCAAUUUUCUCCAGAAAUUACUCAAAACAAGUGAUAGUUUCUCUGAAAAUCGGCUUAAUUUCAACGUAAUUUUAAUACUUAAACAAUCGAUAACAUUUGCUGAAACUGUUCUUAUACAUCAUUUUGUAUAAUUUACUACCAUAUUUUUUUUUGUUUAAUUUUUAAAAACUGUCUCUUUUCGUCACAUAUUACCGGGCACGCACGCUUGCGACCUCAUUAUUAAAAGGCAAGAUGAGAAAACGUGCUAAUAGAAACCAAUAGGUACUUGUUAUUUAGAUAUUACGUAACAAAAGGUGUACAAUUUCAACGACUUAAUCUAUCAAUUUUAUAUUUUUGCUCUAAAAUCGUUACUGGGCUCUUAAAUUUGUUGAUCUAUUCUUCAGAAAUACUGAUUGUAAAAGUUUAAUAAAAAUAAAGAAUUUAAUUGCUUUCUUUCGAUAAAAAAA